rnacentral:rRNA from 1 species
GGAAAUGUAGCGUCUGGGAGGAGAGUUAAAUUUAAACGCGCGGUCAUUAGUCACGGUUGCCAGUCCAAGUUCAUCUUGAACGGGGCCCCGCAUACCCGCAGAGGGUGCCAGGCCCGUGGAGACGGUAGCCGGCCGCGACGGUCUCUCUCCCGAGAGUCGGGUUGCUUGAGAGUGCAGCCCUAAGCGGGUGGUAAACUCCAUCUAAGGCUAAAUACCACCACGAGACCGAUAGCGAA